GGAAUUCGAUUCAGGCCUAACACAUGCAAGUCGAACGGUAUCAGGCCGCAAGGUGCUGACGAGUGGCGAACGGGUGAGUAAUGCAUCGGAACGUGCCCAGUCGUGGGGGAUAACGCAGCGAAAGCUGUGCUAAUACCGCAUACGAUCUAUGGACGAAAGCGGGGGACCGUAAGGCCUCGCGCGAUUGGAGCGGCCGAUGUCAGAUUAGGUAGUUGGUGGGGUAAAGGCUCGCCAAGCCAAUGAUCUGUAGCUGGUCUGAGAGGACGUCCAGCCACACUGGGAGUGAGACACGGCCCAGAAUCCUACGGGAGGCAGCAGUGGGGAAUUUUGGACAAUGGGCGCAAGCCUGAUCCAGCAAGGGCGCGUGCAGGAAGAAGGCCUUCGGGUUGUAAUUUGAUGGGGUACGGAACGAAAAGGUCUGGGUUAAUACCCUGGGCUGAUGACGGUACC
rnacentral:rRNA from 1 species